GCCUUCGUGGUGUAGUGGUCAGCAUGCUCGACGCGUAUUCGAGAGUUCUGUGGUUCGAGUCCCGGCGAGGGCA
rfam:Stegodyphus mimosarum contig32283, whole genome shotgun sequence.